rnacentral:tRNA from 1 species
UAUACAUUAGUGUAGGGUGCACGUAAGGUUUUGAUUCUUAAAGAGAAAUUUAAAUUUUCAUGUAUAA